UGUGUGAAGGGAGGGAAAGGCAGUAGAAACAAAAGUGAAACUGUCUGGGCAGCAUAUUCCUGAAGUCUUGGGGUCUUUCUGAGUGUAGCCUUCAUUGUUUUGAGAUCUACCACACCGUUCUCUCACUAGAAGGGAAAACCUAUAAUGGCAGCAGGCCAUAAGAGAGACCCAGUUUGGGAACAUUUUAAUGAAGUUCCUCUACCUGUAGGUAAGACAGUCAUGCGUUCAAGAUGUAAACAGUGCAACAAAGAAAUGCAAGGCUUGGUUGCCUGAAUGAAACACAUCAUGAGAAGUGUCCCUUCUCAGAAGGAAGCUGCAUUGGAGAUGAUGAAAGGAACAGGUCUGAACAUGCAGGAUCUUCAGGAGAAUCCAUCCUCAACAUACAGGAUUCUGAAGAUUAUCCACCUUCAAGAUCACCAUCAUUUUCUAUAGUUUCAGAGUUACCUGCCAAUGACAGUGUUUCAGUAACAUCAUGUAUGUCUCAUAACCACAGUAUAUCACCUGUAGCAAAAAAA